AGUGAACGCUGGCGGUAGGCCUAACACAUGCAAGUCGAACGGCAGCACAGUAAGAGCUUGCUCUUACGGGUGGCGAGUGGCGGACGGGUGAGGAAUACAUCGGAAUCUACUUUUUCGUGGGGGAUAACGUAGGGAAACUUACGCUAAUACCGCAUACGACCUACGGGUGAAAGCAGGGGAUCUUCGGACCUUGCGCGAUUGAAUGAGCCGAUGUCGGAUUAGCUAGUUGGCGGGGUAAAGGCCCACCAAGGCGACGAUCCGUAGCUGGUCUGAGGGGAUGAUCAGCCACACUGGAACUGAGACACGGUCCAGACUCCUACGGGAGGCAGCAGUGGGGAAUAUUGGACAAUGGGCGCAAGCCUGAUCCAGCCAUACCGCGUGGGUGAAGAAGGCCUUCGGGUUGUAAAGCCCUUUUGUUGGGAAAGUAAAGCAGCAGGUUAAUACCCCGCUGUUCUGACGGUACCCAAAGAAUAAGCACCGGCUAACUUCGUG
rnacentral:rRNA from 1 species